CGCGAAAACUUUACAAUGCUGGCAACAGCGAUAAGGGAACCUCGAGUGCCAGGUUACAAAUCUGACUGUCGAGAUGCCUAAAAAGCAUUUCAUAGCAAGGGCCGGGCAAGACCGGUGCCAGCCGCCGCGGUAACACCGGCGGCUCGAGUGGUAACCGUUAUUAUUGGGUCUAAAGGGUCUGUAGCCGGCCGGAUAAGUCUCUUGGGAAAUCUGGCAGCUCAACUGUCAGGCUUUCAGGAGAUACUGUCUGGCUCGAGGCCGGGAGAGGUGAGAGGUACUUCAGGGGUAGGGGUGAAAUCUUGUAAUCCUUGAAGGACCACCAGUGGCGAAGGCGUCUCACCAGAACGGACCUGACSGCAAGGGACGAAAGCUAGGGGCACGAACCGGAUUAGAUACCCGGGUAGUCCUAGCCGUAAACGAUACUCGCUAGGUGUCGGCCACGGUGCGACCGUGGYCGGUGCCGUAGGGAAGCCGUGAAGCGAGCCACCUGGGAAGUACGGCCGCAAGGCUGAAACUUAAAGGAAUUGGCGGGGGAGCACCACAACGGGUGGAGCUUGCGGUUUAAUUGGAUUCAACGCCGG
rnacentral:rRNA from 1 species